rnacentral:rRNA from 1 species
GAUGAACGCUGGCGGCGUGCCUAAUACAUGCAAGUCGAGCGAACAGACGAGGAGCUUGCUCCUCUGACGUUAGCGGCGGACGGGUGAGUAACACGUGGAUACCUACCUAUAAGACUGGGAUAACUUCGGGAAACCGGAGCUAAUACCGGAUAAUAUAUUGAACCGCAUGGUUCAAUAGUGAAAGACGGUUUUGCUGUCACUUAUAGAUGGAUCCGCGCCGCAUUAGCUAGUUGGUAAGGUAACGGCUUACCAAGGCGACGAUGCGUAGCCGACCUGAGAGGGUGAUCGGCCACACUGGAACUGAGACACGGUCCAGACUCCUACGGGAGGCAGCAGUAGGGAAUCUUCCGCAAUGGGCGAAAGCUUGACGGAGCAACGCCGCGUGAGUGAUGAAGGUCUUCGGAUCGUAAAACUCUGUUAUUAGGGAAGAACAAAUGUGUAAGUAACUAUGCACGUCUUGACGGUACCUAAUCAGAAAGCCACGGCUAACUACGUG